UACGUAGGGGGCAAGCGUUGUCCGGAUUUAUUGGGCGUAAAGAGCUCGUAGGCGGUUUGGCAAGUCGGGUGUGAAAUUUCGAGGCUCAACCUCGAAACGCCACUCGAUACUGCCAUGACUGGAGUCCGGUAGAGGAGUGCGGAAUUCCUGGUGUAGCGGUGAAAUGCGCAGAUAUCAGGAGGAACACCAACGGCGAAGGCAGCACUCUGGGCCGGUACUGACGCUGAGGAGCGAAAGCGUGGGGAGCAAACAGG
rnacentral:rRNA from 1 species